GACGAACGCUGGCGGCGUGCUUAACACAUGCAAGUCGAACGGAAAGGCCCUGCUUUUGUGGGGUGCUGGAGUGGCGAACGGGUGAGUAACACGUGAGUAACCUGCCCUUGACUUUGGGAUAACUUCAGGAAACUGGGGCUAAUACCGGAUAGGAGCUCCUGCUGCAUGGUGGGGGUUGGAAAGUUUCGGCGGUUGGGGAUGGACUCGCGGCUUAUCAGCUUGUUGGUGGGGUAGUGGCUUACCAAGGCUUUGACGGGUAGCCGGCCUGAGAGGGUGACCGGCCACAUUGGGACUGAGAUACGGCCCAGACUCCUACGGGAGGCAGCAGUGGGGAAUAUUGCACAAUGGGCGGAAGCCUGAUGCAGCAACGCCGCGUGCGGGAUGACGGCCUUCGGGUUGUAAACCGCUUUCGCCUGUGACGAAGCGUGAGUGACGGUAAUGGGUAAAGAAGCACCGGCUAACUACGUG
rnacentral:rRNA from 1 species